rnacentral:rRNA from 1 species
ACACAUGGCAAGUCGAGCGGAAACGAAGUUCUCUGAACCUUCGGGGAACGAUAACGGCGUCGAGCGGCGGACGGGUGAGUAAUGCCUAGGAAAUUCGCCCUGAUGUGGGGGAUAACCAUUCGGAAACGAUGGCUAAUACCGCAUGAUGCCUACGGGCCAAAGAGGGGGACCUUCGGGCCUCUCGCGUCAGGAUAUGCCCAGGUGGGAUUAGCUAGUUGGUGAGGUAAGGGCUCACCAAGGCGACGAUCCCUAGCUGGUCUGAGAGGAUGAUCAGCCACACUGGAACUGAGACACGGUCCAGACUCCUACGGGAGGCAGCAGUGGGGAAUAUUGCACAAUGGGCGCAAGCCUGAUGCAGCCAUGCCGCGUGUGUGAAGAAGGCCUUCGGGUUGUAAAGCACUUUCAGUAGGGAGGAAGGUGGUAGUGUUAAUAGCGCUAUCAUUUGACGUUACCUACAGAAGAAGCACCGGCUAACUCCGUGCCAGCAGCCGCGGUAAUACGGAGGGUGCGAGCGUUAAUCGGAAUUACUGGGCGUAAAGCGCAUGCAGGUGGUUUGUUAAGUCAGAUGUGAAAGCCCCGGGCUCAACCUGGGAAUUGCAUUUGAAACUGGCAAACUAGAGUACUGUAG